rnacentral:tRNA from 1 species
GCGGGAAUAGCUCAGUUGGCUAGAGCGAUGGCCUUCCAAGCCGUAGGUAGAUAGAAUGUGUCGGGAAUCCAGUUAUACCAAGGGUUCCCGUU